rnacentral:lncRNA from 1 species
UCCUCCUCCUCCUCUUCUCCCGACUUCUUCUCCUCCCCCCUUUCUUUCUUCUUCUUUCUUCUCCCGCAAAGGGAGGUCGGCGAGCUCGAGAGACGUCAAGACGAGGCCGGCGGCGCCCGCGGCGGCCGGCUCUCUCCUUCCCACGGAGGAGGUAUGCGCACGGGAGAAGAGGAAAAGCCCGCAGCAGUCGGCCUUCUCCUUCUUCCCUCUCUUCUCCUUUCUUUCUUUCUUUCUCUCUUUCUCUUUCCACUAUUCCUUCUCUGUUUUCACUGAACAGAGAAGAGGAACAAGGGAAGGUGGUGCUCUCCGGUCCUCAAGGUGGCCACCACUGAGGGCCGGCGACGCCUGUGGCCGAAGGCAUGCCGACUGCCACAGGUGCCUCCCCUCCUUUUCCUUCUCUCUUCUUC